GACGAACGCUGGCGGCGUGCUUAACACAUGCAAGUCGAACGCUGAAGCCCUUUCGGGGGUGGAUGAGUGGCGAACGGGUGAGUAACACGUGGGUAAUCUGCCCUGCACUCUGGGAUAAGCCUUGGAAACGGGGUCUAAUACCGGAUAGGACACAUCGCCGCAUGGUGUGUGUGGAAAGUUCCGGCGGUGCAGGUUGAGCCCGCGGCCUAUCAGCUUGUUGGUGGGGUGAUGGCCUACCAAGGCGACGACGGGUAGCCGGCCUGAGAGGGUGACCGGCCACACUGGGACUGAGACACGGCCCAGACUCCUACGGGAGGCAGCAGUGGGGAAUCUUGCGCAAUGGGCGAAAGCCUGACGCAGCAACGCCGCGUGGGGGAUGACGGCCUUCGGGUUGUAAACCUAUUUCGACCGGGACGAAGGGUGACUGACGGUACCGGUAGAAGAAGCACCGGCUAACUACGUGCCAGCCGCCGCCGUAA
rnacentral:rRNA from 1 species